GAUUUCUGGAUCCACGUUUGGCCUCUCUAGAUUUGAAACCAAACACACACAUACUUAGUUCCAAACUUGGAUCCCAAAGUC
rnacentral:pre_miRNA from 1 species